CUGUCUCUGUCCCUCCGUCCCCAUCUGUCUGUGUGUGUCCAGGUGGAAUGAGUGGUUGGCCUAUGACAUCUACCUGGCGGACCUCCCUCGCUCAGCCAGACUCUGCCUGUCUAUCUGCUCUGUGAAGGGACGGAAAGGAGCCAAGGAGGAGCACUGUCCUCUGGCCUGGGGGAACGUGAACCUGUUUGACUACACGGACGUCCUGGUCUCCGGUAAAGUGGCUCUGAGUCUGUGGCCCGUCCCCCACGGCCUCGAGGACCUCCUGAACCCUAUCGGAGUCGCCGGGUCCAACCCCAACAAGGAGACUCCCUGUGUGGAGCUGGAGUUCUCCUGGUUUAAUCAGACCGUCGUGUUUCCUGAUGAGCAGCAGAUCGAAGAACAUGCAAACUGGACCAUCAGCCGGGAGCUGGGC